UACAGAGGUCCCAAGCGUUGUUCGGAAUCACUGGGCGUAAAGGGUGCGUAGGCGGCGCGGAAAGUCAGGGGUGAAAUCCCGGAGCUCAACUCCGGAACUGCCUUUGAUACUCCCGCGCUUGAGAACUGGAGGGGAGACCGGAAUUCACGGCGGAGCAGUGAAAUGCGUGGAUAUCGUGAGGAACACUAGUGGCGAAGGCGGGUCUCUGGACAGUAUCUGACGCUGAGGCACGAAGGCCAGGGGAGCGAACGGG
rnacentral:rRNA from 1 species